rnacentral:lncRNA from 1 species
UGGAAGACGACGAAGCCAAGCAUCCUUAGCCAAGCAUCUGGUUACUCGCAGCCGUUAAGGAGAAACAAACAAUUAUGGAUAAGCGUUUGUUCCUGCUUUGCAUUGUCCUGCCGAUGACCGCCCUCGCUGCCUCCUUGGAGUGUGUCGGCCUAAGGUGCCGUCCCUUCCCCCCCAUUAC